ACGCUGGCGGCACGCUUAACACAUGCAAGUCGAACGAAGUAGCAAUACUUAGUGGCAGACGGGUGAGUAACAUGUGGGUAUCUGCCCUUUGGCCUGGAAUAACACGAGGAAACUUGUGCUAAUACCGGAUAAGUCUUUACGGAGAAAGCUUUAUGCACCAUUGGAUGAGCCUGCACUUGAUUAGUUUGUUGGUGGGGUAAUGGCCUACCAAGACUGUGAUCAAUAGCUGAUUUGAGAGGAUGAUCAGCCACAUUGGGACUGAGACACGGCCCAAACUCCUACGGGAGGCAGCAGUGGGGAAUCUUGCACAAUGGAGGAAACUCUGAUGCAGCGAUGCCGCGUGAGUGAAGAAGGCCCUUGGGUUGUAAAGCUCUUUCGUCGGGGAAGAAAAUGACUGUACCCGAAUAAGAAGGUCCGGCUAACUUCGUGCCAGCAGCCGCGGUAAUACGAAGGGACCUAGCGUAGUUCGGAAUUACUGGGCUUAAAGAGUUCGUAGGUGGUUAAAAAAGUUGGUGGUGAAAGCCCAGAGCUUAACUCUGGAACUGCCAUCAAAACUUUUUAGCUAGAGUAUGAUAGAGGAAAGCAGAAUUUCUAGUGUAGAGGUGAAAUUCGUAGAUAUUAGAAAGAAUACCGAUUGCGAAGGCAGCUUUCUGGAUCAUUACUGACACUGAGGAACGAAAGCAUGGGUAGCGAAGAGGAUUAGAUACCCUCGUAGUCCAUGCCGUAAACGAUGUGUGUUAGACGUUGGAAAUUUAUUUUCAGUGUCGCAGCGAAAGCGAUAAACACACCGCCUGGGGAGUACGACCG
rnacentral:rRNA from 1 species